UCUCUCCUUCCUCUGUCAUUUGCUUUGCUCUUUACAUUCUAUUCAUUCUUCUUUUCUAUUCUGGAUCUUUAUUUUCUAUUUUACUCUCACCCUUUCUGUCUCUGUCCACCACCUUUUCUCUCUUCCCCCUGAUUCAUCUUGACCUUUGGAGACAUCUCUGAGUGUGUAUUUUUGUGUGUAUGUGUGUGUGUGUGUGUGUGUGUGUGUGUGUGUGUGUAUGAGAGAGUGUGCAUGUGCUGUGUGUCUGCCUUACUAGGAUAUUCAGCAAUUUCUCAUUGACUUUCUGAUGAAGAUGAGGAUGAGGAGAGACAAACUGGACUGUCCAUGAGGUCUGGGGUCAGCUUACUUACACAUCUUUUAGGUCUAAGACGCAGGAUUGAGAAACAGUUUCACCACAGGACUAUCAGACUGGUUUCCACCACAUUCACCCAUCCUGACAAGCGGUGGGGAAACCACCCCAGCAAAGCUCAUCUGUUGAGAUGUUGCUGAGGCACUUUGUGGUUAUGACCUCAUCAUCAUGAGAUGGAAAGGCUGGUGACUGCAGGCAGCUACAGAAGAGGUGGUGCUGUGUUGUGGUUUGCAGCUGCUGGUUCUUGGCAAAAUAAAUUGCACUGUGGAGAUGCCUCAGGGAAUUAUUUGCUCAAAGGUUGAAAGGAUGAACAAAAAAAGGAAUUCAAGAGGUAUUUGUGAUUCAGACUGUGUUUGUCUGUAGUUGUGACUUAGAUGUAUCUCAGAUCAAAUUUCGUAAUCGAUGGAGAAACUGUUUUUAAAAAAAUAUUUAUUUAUUAUUUUUAAUCAGAAAUAUCUUUUUACACCAGCGAUUAAGUUCCACAGUUUAAGGACUAACUGGUCUGGUUGACUGACACUGCUGAGUAACACUACAGUGUUUUAAAACCAUUAACAGGCUGCCAUUCAUGGGGCGAGUGGGCUUCAUGGCUAUUGUCACACAUUACAACCACGUAGUAAAAUUUUAAAAAGUCGUUAUUGCUGAGAACAUGUCAUUCAUCAGAAAUGUGCACACAUUUUACAUGAUAGGAACUGUUUUUUCCCCACUUCUCCUGAAAUAUACUACAUCAGGAAAAAAUGGUUUUUACCCUAAAAUUCGCAUGUUUUGAGCAGGGUUUUGAAAAAUUUUCCACUAAUCCGUCCUGAGUCAUAGGUAUGACUUCAGCAAUGUUAGGGAACUUCUUUAGAUGGUGUUAAAGAGCUUAACAGGAGCCUCCUUGUUGGAAUGUAAUGACUCCGCUUCUGUUUGGAGAAACCCCAGAUCUAAAGAGCUCCUCUUUUCUGUGUUUUAAGAGAAAGACAUACUCCUCUCUUUUCUACUUUUUAAAUGUAUCCAUACUCUGGCAUUCAUAGGAAUUGGCAUUAACACGAGUGGAUAGAAACUACGUGAAAAAUGAGUCAUGCCUAGAAAACCCUGACCUUAGAAAAUGUUGAUAUACACUAAUUUAUGUGCUUUGGGGUCCUUAGGGACUAGAAAAGCGCUAUACAAAUGCAGGCCAUUUACCAUUUACCAUUUAUUCCCUUAACUAUAUAAAGAUUGGUGCCUGAAUUUUUUUUUCUGUAUGUGUAAGAUUUGUAACAUGUAACAUUUCCAUUCUACAACAUGCAGUGGGAAGACUACAUGUAGUCUUGUACCUACAAUCUUGAAUUUCAAGGCCUGAUGUGGAUGCUUGUCUCACCUACUUUUUCCCUGUACUUGUUUUGCUCUAACAUUACCAUUAAUUAAUAAACUAAUUAUCUAGCCUAUGGAAUUGAUACAUUUGGCUGUUAAUUAUUAAAAAAGAAGCAUACACUAUUCUUAUGGGCCAAUCAAUAAUCUAAAAGAAGCUUUGACAAAUCAACACUUUUAAUAGUCAAUUAAUAGUCAAUAUAUGACCCCACACCCCUGCACACACACACACACACACACACACACACACCACACACACACACACACACACACACACACCGCACACACAUAGAAAAAAAACAUGAAAACGUGACUUGGUUUAGUUUGACCUCUGUUACAUUGAGGCAGUGAUAUUUGAGUGCUGAGCAGGAAGCAGGUUCUCAUAGCCCUGUCUUUUUCCCCAUGUUGAAAAUGGUGGCACAGAAUGUAAGAUUGUAAUGUAUGAAGUACCAAGGAAAUUUUGCUAUGAAAUAAAAAAAUGUAAUAAAAUGCAGUUUUUCUUAAGAGUCAUGGAGUUUUCAGGUAUCAUGUUUAGGAAAUGCUUCAGUGAAGUGACACUUUUUAAAGCAAGUGGGUGAUUGAUCGGUGAACUGAGGAGUUUAAUGUGGCAUGGACAUUCAGGUUCAGGUGUAAUUUCUCGCACAAUAUGCCGAUCAGUAUGGUACAUACAAGAGAGUGGACAGGAAAAGAGCUCAGUUUGUUCAUAUGGGUAAUGCAGACGAAAAAAAUACAUUUGCAGUGUGUGUGUGUGUGUGUGUGUGUGUGUGUGUGUGUGUGUGUGUGUGUGUGUGUGUGUGUGUGUGUUUGUGUAUUGUAAAAGGAACCGUGUAAACUUAAAAGAGGGACAAAGACCAAAGAAGGAAGAGUGCAUGUGAAAAAGAGAAAGACAAAGUGGUGAGAGAGGGCGUAUAUCUUUAGCUGCCUAUAAAGCUCUGCGUGCUUCUCAUUUUAGGCAGAAGUGAAUCCUGGCUGUAAGAAAUGAUGACAAUACACUAAUAAAGCAUCUCAAACUGA